CAGCAGCCGCGGUAAAACGUAGGUGGCGAGCGUUGUCCGGAAUCAUUGGGCGUAAAGGGAGCGCAGGCGGGCAUGUAAGUCUUUCUUAAAAGUUCGGGGCUCAACCCCGUGAUGGGAAAGGAACUACAUGUCUUGAGUACAGGAGAGGAAAGCGGAAUUCCCAGUGUAGCGGUGAAAUGCGUAGAUAUUGGGAGGAACACCAGUGGCGAAGGCGGCUUUCUGGACUGCAACUGACGCUGAGGCUCGAAAGCCAGGGGAGCAAACAGGAUUAGAUACCCCUGUAGUCCCUGUCUCUUAUACA
rnacentral:rRNA from 1 species